AAUGAACGCUGGCGGCAUGCCUAACACAUGCAAGUCGAACGAAGCCUUCGGGCUUAGUGGCGCACGGGUGCGUAACGCGUGGGAAUCUGCCCUUGGGUUCGGAAUAACAGUUAGAAAUGACUGCUAAUACCGAAUGAUGUCGUAAGACCAAAGAUUUAUCGCCCAGGGAUGGGCCCGCGUAGGAUUAGCUAGUUGGUGUGGUAAAGGCGCACCAAGGCGACGAUCCUUAGCUGGCUGAGAGGAUGAUCAGCCACACUGGGACUGAGACACGGCCCAGACUCCUACGGGAGGCAGCAGUGGGGAAUAUUGGACAAUGGGCGGAAAGCCUGAUCCAGCAAUGCCGCGUGAGUGAUGAAAGGCC
rnacentral:rRNA from 1 species